AAGGGUAUAAUUUAAUGGUAGAAUAGUGGUCUUCAAAACCACACGCGGGGGUUCAAUUCCUCCUACUCUUG
rnacentral:tRNA from 1 species